AUUUGAUGGUCGCGCGGGAAUCUCAUUAUUUUAAUCGUGUUUAAUAAUGUGAAUUUUGAUUUUUCUGCUUCAAUAUUCGUUGCAUAUGGUUUACCGACGCUGGAAUUAUCGACGCUGGGAUUAUCGACGCUGGGAUUAUCGACGCUGGGAUUAUCGACGCUGGGAUUAUCGACGUUGGAUUUAUCGACGCUGGAUUUACCGACGGAUUUUAUCUGUCUAAUGUCUGCAGUUAUCUUCCUCACAAGUAUCACUGCUACCGAUAACAAUUAUCAUUCGGGUAGAUAUACUUUUUCAGUAAAGUAUAUAGAUAACACAUGGUACCAACAUCGAUGUUGGCGUACGAUGCGACGUGGUGGGACCGAUGAGAAUAAAAGUGCGCGCGUGCGUGUAUUCGCAAAAGAAAAAUAAACGAAGAAAUGGAACGAUGAAACGUCGUUCGAAGAAAUCUUUCAUCGAUGGAUAAAUCAACGAUCGGAUUUCAUUUAGGGGUUGGCGGCACACUCUCUCUCUCUCUCUAGCGCGCGCGCGCGCGCGCGCGUUCUUUGUCCAGAGGGAGAGAACGAACGCGAACCAGUAGAAUCACGAGAUGGAGGAGGAGGAGAAGGAAGAGAAUAAGGAGAAGACGAGCAACUCCCGUAGGAAAAGAUAGCGUCGACUUACGUUAGAAACGGCACCAACGAAAGAAGCUGCUUCCCCGUAAGAAGAGAAAGAAAAAGAAAGAGGGGAGAGAUGGGUAGCUUCAGUAGGAUGGCGACCACUUCCGGCCGCGAAGAUUGACUUCCGACUCCCACCUUGACUGAGUCUAGUCGGUACACCGAAGCGAAAAACCAAUCGGAAGACGCGCCCCUUCGAGCGCACGAAUUCGACCCGCCAACCCUCCACCUCCCUCCCUCCCUCCCUCCCUCCCUUUCUCUCUCUCUCUCUCUCUCUCUCUCUUUCUCUUGCCUCCCCAGAGACGAUCUCUCAAGGAGACACCUACACGCAUAAACCUGUAUGUAGGUAUAUCGAGUGAGAUAAUGUCGAGACUACGUGAAUACUCGAACGUUGAAAAUUCUCGUACUUCUUUACGAAGAAAAGAACGAAAGAGAGAAAGAGAGAUUGAAAGAAGCAAAUACCUUUGGUACUCGAAAGAUUUUUAUCGGAAAAGAAGAAAUCGCUUCGAAAACGAUUUCGAGUUCAUUAUAUAGAUAUAUGAAAUCGUCGAAUACGAUAAAUCAUCAGAGGGGAAGUUUCACAGAGAGAGAGAGAGAGAGAGAGAGAGAGAGAGAGAGAGACGAUUCUCGGCUGACGCAAACGUUCUCUCUCUUUCUCUCUGUCUCUCCGCCCACCUCGAGAAAGGCGAGCAGCAAUCGGCGCAAUUAACGUUUCGACGAUAAAUUAAAGCGCGUUAAUUACGGAAUGACCUUGGAUUCCAUUAGAAGAACCCGCAAAAUACGAUCCCCGUUCCAGCGCAAAUACACACACACACACACACAUAUAUAUAUAUAUAUAUAUCUAUGUGUGUGUGUGUGUGUGUGUGUGUAUAUAGGUAUCUACGUAGAUAUGUACGUACGUUACCUACACACGGAAAUGCAGUAGGUAUACACGCAUGUAUAUAAGCGGAGAGAUGCUGGCUGAAUGCUCGCGCGCGCGCGCGCGCACACCUUCUGCCAUCGCUCGGCACCUUAGUCCAGGCAAUUACAACGGUCAUCGCAUGCGCCCAGGCAAUUAAGGCGCUCCCCAAUUAAUGCCUCGCCAGCUCUCGCCGCGGUGAACAUUAAGCCGAGCGAGCGAUCCUUGCACAAACAACGCCUUACCAUCGCAAAGACCGGUCGACGAGGACUCUCUUCGUGGAUUCUUCGAGUUAACGAAAUAUAUACUAUAAGGAGAGGAGAACCUUUUCGAGAAUAGCGGAUCGAGAAAUCCAUUGGUGGAAGUGGUUAUCGUUUUGCUUCAAGAGGUUAAGCAAAAGCUUAUACACUAACCGUGUAGGUAUUAUUAUACACCAUUCACUUUGCAAGAAAUACUACAAGGAGGUCGAUUAAUUGACCGUUGAUUGCAUCUUUUUGCUUUUCUUCUUUCUUUCAUUCUUUCUUUCUUUCUUUCUUUACGAAGGAUAUUACAUACAUGCAAGUACGUUUCGUUCUAGAACGUGUAUGCCUUCGCUAAAGACGUAAUUGCCACUCGAAAAUAAAUUACACGGGACUAGAGUGCAUAUUAUCGAGAAUGCAAUAUAUCUUCUCUCUUCGUGCUUUCGUUAAAUCAAGCGUAAUUGCGCGCGUGCAAGUCUCCUCCAAGAUAUCCUCGAUGCGAUCUAUAUACGGUUACGAUACUCCCUGAUGAUCUUGACCUGUAAUUUCAUAGGUCGAUACUUCCUUAAGGCGCUCGAUCGACACAGCCGAUCGUCUUUUCUUUAACGAUAAAGAAAUUCAAAUGGUAUCUUUCGAAUAAAAGAUUAAACAAAAGCAUUUUGAAAAAGAGCCGCUACUAUCGCCAUCUGUAUUAAAUGUUUAUUAAAAAAAUUAAGUAAAACAAAUAAAGAAAUUCAAUAAAAUAAUUAAUAGGAAUCUUGAAAGCAUAAAAAUAGAUGCUUGAGAAAUAUCUGUAGUAUUGUUAGAAAAAGCAAACACGAUUUAUAUUAUGUUUUCGCGGAAAGAUUUGUAUUCCGAUGUCGACGUUAGAAACAUAGCAUAGGUAUCGCUAAAGUUAGAAAGUCAUG